UACAGAGGGUGCAAACGUUGCUCGGAAUUACUGGGCGUAAAGCGCGAGUAGGUGGUUUUGUAAGUCGGGUGUGAAAGCCCAGGGCUCAACCCUGGAAGUGCACACGAUACUGCGAAGCUUGAGUACUGAAGAGGAGAGCGGAAUUCCCGGUGUAGAGGUGAAAUUCGUAGAUAUCGGGAGGAACACCAGUGGCGAAGGCGGCUCUCUGGGCAGAUACUGACACUGAGACGCGAAAGCGUGGGUAGCAAACAGG
rnacentral:rRNA from 1 species